rnacentral:rRNA from 1 species
UACGGAGGGGACUAGCGUUGUUCGGAAUUACUGGGCGUAAAGCGCACGUAGGCGGACCAGCAAGUUAGGGGUGAAAUCCCGGGGCUCAACCCCGGAACUGCCUCUAAAACUGUUGGUCUUGAGUUCGAGAGAGGUGAGUGGAAUUCCGAGUGUAGAGGUGAAAUUCGUAGAUAUUCGGAGGAACACCAGUGGCGAAGGCGGCUCACUGGCUCGAUACUGACGCUGAGGUGCGAAAGCGUGGGGAGCAAGCAGGAUUAGAUACCCGCGUAGUCCCUGA